AAGUCGUAACAAGGUUUCCGUAGGUGAACCUGCGGAAGGAUCAUUAAUGCAAAUGUAUGUGCUGUCCUCCUCUGUUUGCAAAAACGGAAGUGACUGCCCAUAUUGAACCCGCUUAAUAACGCUCGACUUUUGUUCAUUUAAUUGACAGAAGCUCGACGUCACAAGUAACCAGAGACUUUUUCUUUUCUGUUCGGGUUUCUGCUAGCGGAAUCCCGGAAAGAAGAGGGAAAUGUUCUCUACCAUUUUUACACCAUAAUUACCCUAUUCUAUAAACUAUUAGACUGAUAUAACAUCACAUUUUUCACAAUGUGAAACAUAAAAAAAUAAGAACAACUCUUAGCAAUGGAUAUCUAGGCUCUC
rnacentral:misc_RNA from 1 species